AUGGGCGCAAGACCUGAUGCAGCGACGCCGCGUGAGGGAUGGAGGCCUUCGGGUUGUAAACCUCUUUCGCCAGUGAAGCAGGCCUGUCCCUUUUGUGGGUGGGUUGACGGUAGCUGGAUAAGAAGCGCCGGCUAACUACGUGCCAGCAGCCGCGGUAAUACGUAGGGCGCGAGCGUUGUCCGGAAUUAUUGGGCGUAAAGAGCUCGUAGGCGGCUGGUCGCGUCUGUCGUGAAAUCCUCUGGCUUAACUGGGGGCUUGCGGUGGGUACGGGCCGGCUUGAGUGCGGUAGGGGAGACUGGAACUCCUGGUGUAGCGGUGGAAUGCGCAGAUAUCAGGAAGAACACCGGUGGCGAAGGCGGGUCUCUGGGCCGUUACUGACGCUGAGGAGCGAAAGCGUGGGGAGCGAACAGGAUUAGAUACCCUGGUAGUCCACGCCGUAAACGUUGGGCACUAGGUGUGGGGGGCCUUUUCCGGGUCUUCCGCGCCGUAGCUAACGCAUUAAGUGCCCCGCCUGGGGAGUACGGCCGCAAGGCUAAAACUCCAAAGGAAUUGACGGGGGCCCGCACAAGCGGCGGAG
rnacentral:rRNA from 1 species